rnacentral:lncRNA from 1 species
AUGACUUUGCACAGCCCUGCCUCACUUAAAUCCAAUUCACACACGAGUCAAGACAUCACCCUCCUGAUGUCAUUGGUCCUCUUCAAGAACAAAGGACAAACCAGUAACAAUAGCCCUUCUGCACCCAGACCCAGGUACUACAUCCACAGCCAGCUUCUAUGCACAAUCCUAGCACCAAAAAUAUCCCAGAAGAUAACAGCUGAUCAGUGUCAUGAAUUUCAUCACUUAGAAUCUUUAUGAAUAUACCACAUGACUCAACUUUAAAGGAAAGACUUCCUUUUAAGAAGCAAAGGAUGUUUGAUCAAAGAGAAGGAAUGCAAAGAAUCAAUGAUUAUAGAUAAAGUGAUGUUACCCAAAAAACUCAGGAGAUCUAGAUUCAAGUUGGAGUUUGAUCCUGUAUUUACUUUGUGACCUGGAACAAAUCAGCGUAACUUCUGAGACCUUCAAUUUCUCUGUUUGUAAAAUAAGAAUGAUAAAUCCACCACACCACAAUUCUAUGAGGAUUCAGAGAGGUUUUAUGAAAUGGUUGUACAAACUUCAAGGCACUACAAAUGACAAUAUUUUAUAGUGAGGCAUAACCUGCAGCCGCCUGAUUUCAAACUGAGGAAGAUAUACAUACAGCCUAGAGUCAUAUCAAAAGAGGAGACACUAUACUUCACCGUUAUUCAUUCAAAAUCAAAAAGAAUUUAAUCUACACCCCUCUGAAUAUCACCUUUUGAUGGGUGAUACACAGCAUGUGUUAGAAAGGCACAAGCUCUAGCUACAGUAGGAAAACAACUUGUCAAAAAGUGAAAAAUUCAGGAAAAGAUGAUUUUUUUUGCCUUAAAAAUAUUGUUUGAUGAAAGUUGGCCAAACUGAUUUAUAAGCAAAGCCCAUAUGAAGCCCAUGAGAGACCUCUCUCUACACACCCCUACCAUAAUGAAUUGGAUGGCCUGAGGAAAUGCAGACCCUGGAGAAUCCAGCUCCAGCUCCUCAUGGGCUUCUUUGUUCUUUCUUUUCUUUUUUUUUCUUUCUUUUUUUUCUGAGCACGUCAGAGACUCUUGAUCCUGAGAAUGGGCAUUUCUGGCCUUCGGAGUAACCUGAUGGGCAAUCCUGAGUUUGAGAAGUGGGUCCUGGAUUUCCAGAGUAAGAUUUCUCUGACAGUGGUGGUUUUGGAAAAAGAGGAGUGAAUCCUUAGUAGAGUAUAAAGUUGUUAUUCAGUCAUGUCUGUCUCUUCUGGAUCCCAUUUGGAGUUUUCUUGGCAGAGACACAGGAAUGGUUUGUCAUUUCCUUUUCCAGCUCAUUUUAUAGAUGAGGAAACUGAGGCAAACAGGGUUAAGUGACUUGCUCUGGGUCACAGAACUAGUAAUUGAGGGCAAAUCUGAACCCAGGAAGAUGAUCUUCCUGGUUCUAGGCCCUAUAUUCCAUCCACUGCACCACUUUGCUGCCCUAGUAGGGAACUAAAGUCAGGCCAAAAAGAUGCAAGGAGAUUUGGGUCCUGUUGACCUUUCAUGAUACUGUGGUGAGUGCUUAGACAAUGCAGAUGUUUGCCCCCAGGUCCACAAAAGGUCUUCACCUGUAGCUGGGGUCUAAAUAUGACAGGCUAUUGAAUUGUCUUAAGUUCCUGUGUUUCUUCCUGGCCUCCUCUCAGUUCCUCACAUAUUCUUCAUGUACUGAGUGAAAUAAAGGCUGUUCCACACCCA